GGCUUGGUGGUCUAGGGAGUAUGAUACUUGCUUCGGGUGCGAGAGGACCCGGUUUCAAUUCCCUGUCGAGCCC